rnacentral:rRNA from 1 species
GACGAACGCUGGCGGCGUGCUUAACACAUGCAAGUCGAACGGAAAGGCCCUGCUUUUGUGGGGUGCUCGAGUGGCGAACGUGUGAGUAACACGUGAGUAACCUGCCCUUGACUUUGGGAUAACUUCAGGAAACUGGGGCUAAUACCGGAUAGGAGCUCCUGCUGCAUGGUGGGGGUUGGAAAGUUUCGGCGGUUGGGGAUGGACUCGCGGCUUAUCAGCUUGUUGGUGGGGUAGUGGCUUACCAAGGCUUUGACGGGUAGCCGGCCUGAGAGGGUGACCGGCCACAUUGGGACUGAGAUACGGCCCAGACUCCUACGGGAGGCAGCAGUGGGGGAUAUUGCACAAUGGGCGGAAGCCUGAUGCAGCAACGCCGCGUGCGGGAUGACGGCCUUCGGGUUGUAAACCGCUUUCGCCUGUGACGAAGCGUGAGUGACGGUAAUGGGUAAAGAAGCACCGGCUAACUACGUG